GCCAUAUAAGUUCCAAGAUGAGAAGAACAACUCUCUUUCUCAAAACACUCUCACGCCCAACCUCCCUUUCUCACCAUAACCACAAACUUCAUACUCCAUUAAUCCAUCAAAUUUCUUAAUGCAUGUAUGAAUUCUUCUUAACCCAUCAUCAAUUAAACUCAAUAGAAGCAAAAACCAACCCUAUCUUCCUCUCCUUCCCACUCUUAGCCACAAACCCCUUUCUUCCUCACAAACUCAUACCUUCCACCAUUUGCACGAAUUUCUUAUGGGUAGCUUGUAGAUGUUGGAAACCAAUGUAAUGUAAGCAUUCCUAAACUUUCCCCUCUUCUGUGUUGAUUUGACCGAUUUUGAUGGUUAGAGAAUGAGAUAGUUAUUAUCCGAUUUCCCUUGAAAGUGAAGGUUGAAAGAAGUCAUGUUUCACUGUUAGUUUGGAAUUUCAGCAAAGAUGUGGACUUGUAACAGUGGAGACUAAAGAUUGAAGCUUGGAAGAAAUUGAAGAGAAUGGAAAAGAAAGAAAUUGGAAGGAUUUGGGUUAAACCCGUAUUCUGGACAGACCUCCACUAAAAAGUUUCAUGGAUUUCUAAGCAGUAAUGAAUUCGGAAGAAGCAUUUGAAGUUCGAGGUCUGAUGCAGAACUUUGGGCUACGGGUUUAGAGUGUUGUGGCUGCAAAUUCUGUUUUUCAACUAGCUCCGAAUAUGUUGUUAGCACGAUUCAAACGUCAUGUUCAGGUAACAGGUUGAGCAUGAUAAAUGGAUUUUCAAGAGGAUUGAAGUAAAGACGCUGUUUAUGGAAACUUCGUAGCAUUCACCUGUUAAAUUAUUAUAGAAGAUGAUUCAAGGCUUGAUCCUGAUUGUUAUGCAUUCUAUUUCGCUCUGAUGUAUAAUAUAUUAUAGGUUGUACAUUAUGACAGUUUAUUCAGGAUUUUGUCAAGAUUAUGUAUUGUCUGGCAAAUUAUCUUGUAAUUGUACUAUGUCGGACAAAAGUUAUUCUGUAAUAUUAAUGUUUCCCGAUUC